GACACACCCUUCUGCCUCUCUCUCGAUCUCCCUACACUCCGGCAACUGGAGCCGAAGUCCGGCGAGCUCCGGUGACCCCCCUUCUUCACUCCGAUUAAGCACCACCAUCACCAUCACCCUCCUCCUCCCUCUUUCAAGCUCGCACCUGAACAAACCACCUCCACUGGUCUCUUCAGCCAGCGCCCGACACCACUGUUGGUGGCGGCGGCGGCGGCUUAACGACAGCGGCGGCAACAGGUUCCUCUCCCAACAAACCACUCCCACAGCUCGUCUUUCCCUCUCUUCCCGAUACACGACAGCGGCAAACCACGAAGACGUCGCCGGGAACCGCAAGCUUUUGUUUCGGUUAAUCGCUCUCGUUCAUUCUCUUGGAAUUCUCAAUCCUUACUUGUGCGUUACUUUCAAGAAAUCGCAAAGCAAUUUUGUGAGUUAAUCGCUCUCGUUCAUUCUCUUGGAAUUCUCAAUCCUUACUUGUGCGUUACUUUCAAGAAAUCGCAAAGCAAUUUUGUGAGUAUACUCGUACUUUCCCCCUUUUUACUUUUACCACUUUUGGGGUGUAACAUGUUUACCUAUUGAAACUUACACAUGAACUUUUGUCUAAACACAUGAACAUUCCUAUAACAUGCUUGUAUAUGUGAUGACUUGAUACUUUAAAUUUGGGUGAUUCUUAUGUGUUGAACUUAUCAUUAACUUCGUACGAGCCAAACCUUGACAUAUGUAGCGCUAUAGGAUUAACGACCCGCCCGUAAACUUGAGGUUAUGUCUUGAGCAUAUUGCGUUUUCUUGGUUUGAUAUGUUAGACACAUGCCAUAUUUAAUGUUUAUCUUGAAUCAUAUGCUUGCCAUGAGGAAUUGUUCACACUUUUUAUCUUAUGCUAUGUUGAUGAUGAUGCUAUAA
rnacentral:lncRNA from 1 species